rnacentral:rRNA from 1 species
GACGAACGCUGGCGGCAUGCCUAAUACAUGCAAGUCGAGCGAACAGAUGAAGUGCUUGCACUUCUGACGUUAGCGGCGAACGGGUGAGUAACACGUAAGGAAUCUACCUAUAAGCGGGGGAUAACAUUCGGAAACGGGUGCUAAUACCGCAUAAUAUCUUCUUCCGCAUGGAAGAAGAUUGAAAGACGGCUCUGCUGUCACUUAUAGAUGACCUUGCGGUGCAUUAGUUAGUUGGUGGGGUAAUGGCCUACCAAGACGAUGAUGCAUAGCCGACCUGAGAGGGUGCUCGGCAACAUUGGGACUGAGACACGGCCCAAGCUCCUACGGGAGGCAGCAGUCGGGAAUCUUCCGCAAUGGGCGAAAGCCUGACGGAGCAAUGCCGCGUGAGUGAAGAAGGCCUUCGGGUCGUAAAUCUCUGUUAUAAGAGAAGAACAAAUUGUAGAGUAACUGCUACAGUCUUGACGGUAUCUUAUCAGAAAGCCACGGCUAACUACGUGCCAGCCGCCGCCGUAA